AAUGGAAUAGUUGGGUCAUUUGGUAGUUCUAUUUCUAGUCUUUUGAGGAAUCCCCAUGCUGCUUUCCAAACUGGUUGUACCAAUUUGCAGUCCCACCAACAAU
rnacentral:pre_miRNA from 1 species